UGUCAUUUAUAAUCUGUUCUCCAAAAAAAAACAAAAGUACCAAUCAGUGUACUGAACUUUUUAUCACAGCACUAACAGGUGCCAUGGAUUGAGGUGCAACACCUGUAAAAGGUUUUCCAUAGAGAGAUGAGGUCCUGACAACUGCUGUGGGCUCCAGAGACCUUUGACUGAAAGUUAACAUUUUUAACAAAGGGAGAUAUUAGUGGGGCUGGGGGAGGUGGUGUGGAGGCACUGGGUCAGAUGCAGCCCAAGACGUACCAACUAAAUGUUUGACUGUCAGACUUCUUACCCAGGAGGAUUCGGCGAGGUGAAGGAGUAUCCAUUCUUCCAAGGUCUGGACCGGAAACCUCCUGAGUCAGGACCCUCUACUUGUCCUUCAGUUGGACAACAAGCAGGACACCAGCUGCUUUGAAAGGAGGAGCCAACAAAGACACAUGGUCGACCAGACUCAUGUGAUGAAAGCACGGGACAUUUUCUGCUCUGAUAACAGGCUGUUGUCUUUAAUUUAGAUUUUGUUUGAUAUUAACGCACGCAGUUAGAUCCGUGUUGACGUGUCCACGGACAAUGACGAGUCCGGCGAUGAUGAUGAGACCAGUGGUGAUGAUGAAGAGUCACCCAUGGGAGCGAAGGAGCUCCCAUACUUCUGCUUUGUAGCCUUCUGCUUCAGAAAGGUGUACAGCAGCCCCGAGCCCCUGUCCUCCUUCACACGGUUCAAGCACAACCUGCUGUUCGCUAAGCCAAGACACUGGAAGGUGGAGGAGGAGGAAGAGCAGGGGCAGGAGGAAGAGGAGGACGUCGACGAAGGCUAUGAGUAGGAGGACUUAGAAGACCGUUAUGAUGAAGAACACGGGUCCCCAACCCCAGCGACCCGACCAAACAGAGCCACACUGAGGAGGCGAAGGAGGAGGAAGAGGAGGAAGAAGGAAAGGAGUGACAGAGGACAUGAUGCUGUUGGUGAAGAAAUGAAGUUUGAUGCUGAACUCACAACGUUUCUUCUACACUGGUAGACACAUCUUUGAAAAAGGAAGAAGAAAGAGGUAAAAAAAAAAAACGGAAGGAUCAGUUGGUGUCUUUUACUUUGACGACAAAAAAGUAGAAGAAGAAAAAAAAAGUGAAACGACAGAAAGAGACAAAGACAGAGGACCUCUCCUUCCCCAUCCUCUGUUUCAUGUCUGUGUCGCUGGAAAACAAAGGUGUACCAUACUAUCAUAACACACACACACACACACACACACACACACACACACACUGUCCCUAUAUCUCAUUAGCAAUGCCACCAACUAUGAACCAUAUACAGCGUCUCACUCGCUCCACACUCACCACAGUGCAUAGCUUAGGAACAGGAAGUUAAUGCCUUCAUUGUCUGUUGUUGUUCGUAGUGUAUUUUAAUAUUGAAACUUAUUACAAGAAAAUCACUAAAAUUACCAGAUUUAUCCGGCUAAUUUCUAAUUAUAACAACAAUUAAUUCAUGUUUUUUUUUUUUUUAAAAAUGACGAGAAAUGAAUCACUUUGUUUUCCUUUUAAUAUUUUAGAAUUUUCAAAAUAAAUGUCCGGAAUUUCUAAGGCUAAUUUCAUGAGUCUGUUAAGGCCCUAAACUGAACUAAGGUUCAGUGAAUGGAAGGGAAAAAAUAUUACAAGUUAUUAUAUUAGGGAGAUCAUGUAGAUUAGCCUAAAUGUGUGUGAUUUCGUGAAAAAGAUACAGUAGUUUUAGGAAAUUUGAAACUCUUUCCCACUUUCCCAGAGUGAGAAACUAAUAAAAGCCUUACAACAGACCUUUUUCAGGUAUUUGGUUUGGUCUCACGUUUUGUCAAACAGCAUUAUUAGGCAAUCUCGGCUCUGUGGGAUCAAAUAACA